AUACGUAGGGGGCGAGCGUUGUCCGGAAUGAUUGGGCGUAAAGGGCGCGUAGGCGGCCCGGUAAGUCGGGAGUGAAAGUCCUGUUUUUAAGAUGGGAACUGCUUUGGAUACUGUCGGGCUUGAGUGCAGGAGAGGUAAGUGGAAUUCCCAGUGUAGCGGUGAAAUGCGCAGAUAUUGGGAAGAACACCGGUGGCGAAGGCGACCUUCUGGGCCAUGACUGACGCUGAGGCGCGAAAGCUGGGGGAGCGAACAGGAUUAGAUACCCUGGUAGUCCCAGCUGUAAACGAUGGACACUAGGUGUGGGAGGGUGUUCCUUCCGUGCCGCAGCCAACGCAUUAAGUGUCCCGCCUGGGGAGUACGGCCGCAAGGCUAAAACUCAAAUGAAUUGACGGGG
rnacentral:rRNA from 1 species